AACGGGCCGGGACUGCGUGUGCCCUCGGGAGGCGUCCGUGCGGGGCGUCCCGCCCUGGGGCAGCGGCUGGGAUCGUCGGGGUGGCUGCUCAUUGCCUAACAGAACUUCGUCAAGCAUGGGACAUGUGUUAUCUCUGCCUAAGAAGACAUGGCUGCUGUCCCCACUCUGCAGAUGAGCAAAUUGAGGCUCCCAGAGAAAAUUACUGGCAUUACUUUGUACCCUUAAUUUGGUACCAGGAAAGAUGGGAAAAGAUGAUGAACAUUUUAGAAGCUGGUUUCUCCCCACUGUGGAAGGGGUUGGAUGAUGUACCUCGCUCUCUGGGACACCCCACUUGGCUGUAAUCUCAGGAAGGCCUCUUAAACCCCGGCUCAUCCCGCAGCCACUUCUGGAAGCUACUUGAGAGGAAAAAAAAAAAAUGAUGUGACAGGUCCUCUCAGGAAGGAUUUUCAGAAACCCAGCAUCCGCAGAAGAAAGUGGCCCAUUUCCCUUUUGCAAAGU
rnacentral:lncRNA from 1 species